rnacentral:rRNA from 1 species
AAUAGAACUUGAAACCGUGUGCUUACAAGUAGUCAGAGCCCGUUAAUGGGUGAUGGCGUGCCUUUUGUAGAAUGAACCGGCGAGUUACGAUUUGAUGCAAGGUUAAGCAGUGAAUGUGGAGCCGUAGCGAAAGCGAGUCUGAAUAGGGCGUUGAGUAUUUGGUCGUAGACCCGAAACCAGGUGAUCUACCCAUGACCAGGUUGAAGUUCAGGUAACACUGAAUGGAGGACCGAACCGACUUACGUUGAAAAGUGAGCGGAUGAGUUGUGGGUAGCGGAGAAAUUCCAAUCGAACCUGGAGAUAGCUGGUUCUCUCCGAAAUAGCUUUAGGGCUAGCCUCAAGUGAUGAUUAUUGGAGGUAGAGCACUGUUUGGACGAGGGGCCCUUAUCGGGUUACCGAAUUCAGACAAACUCCGAAUGCCAAUCAAUUUAACUUGGGAGUUAGAACGCGGGUGAUAAGGUCCGUGUUCGAAAGGGAAACAGCCCAGACCACCAGCUAAGGUCCCAAAAUAUAUGUUAAGUGGAAAAGGAUGUGGCGUUGCCCAGACAACUAGGAUGUUGGCUUAGAAGCAGCCAUCAUUUAAAGAGUGCGUAAUAGCUCACUAGUCGAGUGACACUGCGCCGAAAAUGUACCGGGGCUAAACAUAUUACCGAAGCUGUGGAUUGUCCGUAAGGACAAUGGUAGGAGAGCGUUCUAAGGGCGUUGAAGCAUGAUCGCAAGGACAUGUGGAGCGCUUAGAAGUGAGAAUGCCGGUGUGAGUAGCGAAAGACGGGUGAGAAUCCCGUCCACCGAUUGACUAAGGUUUCCAGAGGAAGGCUCGUCCGCUCUGGGUUAGUCGGGUCCUAAGCUGAGGCCGAUAGGCGUAGGCGAUGGAUAACAGGUUGAUAUUCCUGUACCACCAUAAUUCGUUUUAAGCGAUGGGGGGACGCAGUAGGAUAGGCGAAGCGUACUAUUGGAUUGUACGUCCAAGCAGUAAGACUGAGUGUUAGGCAAAUCCGGCACUCUUAAGGUCAAGCUGUGAUGGGGAGAGGAAAUUGUUUCCUCGAGUCGUUGAUUUCACACUGCCAAGAAAAGCCUCUAGCUAGAAUUGUGGUGCCCGUACCGCAAACCGACACAGGUAGUCAAGAUGAGAAUUCUAAGGUGAGCGAGCGAACUCUCGUUAAGGAACUCGGCAAAAUGACCCCGUAACUUCGGGAGAAGGGGUGCUCUUUAGGGUUAACGCCCAGGAGAGCCGCAGUGAAUAGGCCCAAGCGACUGUUUAUCAAAAACACAGGUCUCUGCUAAACCGUAAGGUGAUGUAUAGGGGCUGACGCCUGCCCGGUGCUGGAAGGUUAAGAGGAGUGGUUAGCUUCUGCGAAGCUACGAAUCGAAGCCCCAGUAAACGGCGGCCGUAACUAUAACGGUCCUAAGUUAGCGAAAUUCCUUGUCGGGUAAGUUCCGACCCGCACGAAAGGCGUAACGAUUUGGGCACUGUCUCAACGAGAGACUCGGUGAAAUCAUAGUACCUGUGAAGAUGCAGGUUACCCGCGACAGGACGGAAAGACCCCGUGGAGCUUUACUGUAGUCUGAUAUUGAAAUUCGGCACAGCUUGUACAGGAUAGGUAGGAGCCUGAGAUGCGUGAGCGCUAGCUUACGUGGAGGCGUUGGUGGGAUACUACCCUCGCUGUGUUGGAUUUCUAACCCGCACCAUUUAUCAUGGUGGGAGACAGUGUCAGAUGGGCAGUUUGACUGGGGCGGUCGCCUCCUAAAGAGUAACGGAGGCGCUCAAAGGUUUCCUCAGAAUGG